UGUGUAUGAGUGUAUGUUUGAGAGCCUUCGUUUUUCUCCCCCUCUCUCUCCUUUCCACCUAACUGCUAACUGCUGAGGAUUCAAACAGGCGCUCACGCAGGCGUCAUGUUUUUAAACUAUAAUUGGGGUGAUAAAAGGGGAAUGGCCGCCACAUUACGGCCGUUGUAACUCAUGUCCAGACUAGUGAGGUUAAAUGGCUGGAGUUACACGCUUUCUCCUCCUGCCUUCGGUGAGAAAGAGACAGAAAGGGUGUAUGAUGGAUGCAGGUAGUGGAUCCCUGGUGGUGGUGGUGGUGGUGGUGGAGGAGGAGAGGGGAUCACAUGGCGGGCCCAUGCGGGUGUGCAGCUGCCGGCUGAAGGCUGAAGUUACAGGUUGAAGAAGUCAAGGGAAGCGGCAGGGUGCUCCUGGGAUGUUCAAAGUGUCUGCCUGCAUAACAACAAAAACACGAAACCAGUUAAACAACCAACGGGGUCUCAUGGAAGGUGUGAGACCGAGGGCCAGAAGUUCAUCGCACAGCACUGAUGGCAGCUGAACUUGUACUUUAGGAGUUUCUGUGAGCGAUUUGCAUUGAUGAACAAUGCGUGUGGGAUCUCAUACACCUCUUUUAAACGCUUGGACCUGCUUCAGCAUCCGGUCAACAUUAGAACCAGGCAAACAGUGCUGUUGUAAUCAGAAUCAGAAUCAGAAUCAGAAUCAGAAUUAGCUUUCUUGGCCAGGCUUGUGUAAACAAACAAGGAAUUUGACUCCAAUCCAUGUACAUCCUUUGCUGGAUGGAAACAACAUAGAAACAUAAGUGCUAGUGUUCCUGGGGCAAUGCUACCCUGCAUGAAAACAAGCAUACUGUAACCCUUUCAACAUGUUUCCACAAGGAUCUCUUAUUGUCUUUGGAGAGGAUGUUCACUUGUUCCUGCAUUCACCCCAUACAUCUUCCUCACAGAUUUAUUGGAAUGUACACUUAUAGCACACCCACGUCGCCACCUUAUCCCCUUAAAGGAACAGAAUACUGUCUCUUAACUAUGUAAUUUUGUGAUAGUAUCAAUCCUGGAUGUCUCCUCUAGCACCUAACCUCACUGGCCCACUAUACCCGGCAUAAGCAACACAUGGACGGCUUCCCUGACGGAUCCAAUGGCCCUCCUCAAAGUUCUGUCUUGUCCCUCCUCAACAGAUAACAUGUUGGUGAGAAGAACGAUACAGUACCCCUCAAGCAACAACAAAUUGCCUCCACCACACCCCAUGGUAUAAACCAUAUUAAGAACUGCACUUCGAAACUCAUUGAACGUAUCAUUAUUAAUGAGUGUUUGGGGAAAGGAGUCAUGCAUCACCCUCAAUUGGUAUAUAUUGAGAUAUUGACCGGCACGCUGGACGUAAUCCCUUCUCAUUACAUGACUAAUAACUAAAUAACUAAAUAAUUAUCUAUUGUUUCCCCUAAAACAAAUUGUCUGUUAGAUUAUGUGUGUAGUAAAUGGCGCCAUGAAUGAUUUACCUACCUUGCUAUCUGAAAUCCAGUUUUGGUCGCGGUUGCCUGGAGCAGCAACGCCUGACUAGCCUCAGGUUGCUUCGAUUAGUUCUCCCUCACAGGUUGUGCGUUAUUUAAGGAGGUGGUACGACCAUGCACCGGCCUCUAGACCUGCACAAGGCUGUGAUGGAUAGGAGCCCAGGAACUCGAAAUACACCCAGAGCUAGUCCUUAGAUAGAGUCCCCGAAACUGGCCUCCCAGUUAAUUAGAUCCAAGCAGUGGAAAAAUGUACACUAAUACCCAUUAGGGUAAGGCAAAUUGUUAAAAAGUCCACUGUACCUUUACGGGGCAUUGUGGAAUUACUGAACUAUGUUGCCAUUAAAGGCAAGGCUAUACUUUAUAGUCUUUUCAGGGGGAUUUUUGAAAGAACAAGUGCCAUUUGUUUUCAAUCAGCAGGGAAUAAAAAUGAUUGUCCCACAGACUGAGAAAAUUGUUUCUGACAAAGGAUUAUUUGAAGUGAGUUGAUGUUUGUGUGAUCUCUACUCACGUUCUGUUCACGAUUAAUAGUCAUUUAAGCCUUUAAAUAAAUAAUCUGCAAAGU
ensembl:lncRNA